CAUGUCACAAUGGUGGUACUUUUAAUGGACAUAUGUGCAUCUGUCUCCCUGGGUUUUCUGGUGCGAUGUGUGAAACUGCAGUACCAGUUGUGCCAGGUGCAUUUAAUCAGACAGUGGUCAUUGACGUGGUCGUCGAGGAAAAUUACGAUGAAGCGUAUGACAACCCAACGUCAGAUGAAUACAAAGGAUUUGUAAAUCGCUUUGUGACAAAGAUGAGACCAAAAUACGAAGGGGUUCCACAUUUCAAAUAUCUUAAUGUGACCGGUUUAAGCCGUGCAGAUCCUGCUUCAACGUUUGAUAGCACUGCAUUGGAGAUAAGAGAAGCCAAAGCAGCGGCGUUCCAUUUUAAAGCAAGCACAGACAAUGUAAAGGUCACACACAAUGUGGUUCUGGAAGUUAAUAACGGCAACCAGGCAGAACAAUAUCUGGAGGGCUUUGAAAAGGUUAAAGAAAUACUUCAAGAUCUGAAAGAUUCUAAUAAUAUCACAGGUUUCACAGCGACCGAAAAAGACCUAGACAUGAAAGGUCUAUGUGAGAAUGCACUGCAGGGCUCGGGUAUAGCUGGAUACUUCAGUCCUCAUCAAUUAAAAAAUGACACGAUCGUUUGCAGAAACAGAUGUGACCGAGAGCAUAAUGAAGCUAUACAGUGCCAUAAUGGGGGGAUCUGCAACAUCUACCAAGCUUUGGGAGAGAUCUGCAUAUGUAAAAAUGUGAACGACACCUGGUACUUGGGAGAGGACUGCAACUUUCCCAUACAGAAAGUUGCGUUUUAUGCAGGGCUAAGUGUGACCCUUGCUGUCCUGUUGGUUGCUGUGGUAACCCUGGUUGCAUAUGCUGUUGUCAACAAACACAAACAGACAAAAAAGAAAGACAUGAAGCAGAAAUUGGUGAACCAGUGGCUGGAUGAUGACUAUGAAUGGACCAGAGCUGCAAGUCCAAUAGGCCAACAUGGAGCAAGUAAAAAACAAAUCAGUUAUGCACGGGAACCAGCAGACGCCUUUCACAUAUGGCAGCAAUUGGUCCAACCCGACAGAACGCAUGCCGCAGAACCAGCACAGACAAGACUCGUUCUUUCCUAAUCCUGGACGUGCCGAGCCUGCCAUUUCACCCUCACCCAACAUGGAUUUCUGGUUCAAUCUGCCGAUGAGGACUGUCAGGCCGGAGACCCGGGGAUCCUGGGAUGUCUAGGCUCAGCAUUGAUUGAUGAAGAAACUCCUUCUUGUUUCUGUUUACCUGUAAAAUUAGAAAGAUCUGAAUGUUUUUUUAUUUUAUUUAUGUGUCUCUGUGGAUGUUUAGAUGCUAGAUUUGAGAUGUUUCUUCUAUAAGCUCUUGCUUAGAGUUAAGUCUUUGUCUUUGUUGAAAAUAUGACAGAUAUUUAAGCUCCAAUCCCAGGUUUUUGUACCUUGGCAAAGGAAAUCUCACCAAAAAAAGAAAUUGUUACUACACAAACAUGUUUGACUAAUCAGCCAGUGUAAUGCUAACAAAGCCUUUGAACAAAGCAAGCAGUUGAUCAGAAAAAAGCAACUGAAGAUCGUGGAACUUGUUUCCAGUCUGCAGACUCAUUCUAAUAAGACACAAUAUCACAGGAUCUGUGGAUCAACCCAACUGCUUGGUAAAAUACCAGUUCAUGAAAAGCUAUAUGGUGAAAAACAGCUUGAACUGAAUCCUCCCUUCACUUAUUUUCCAUAUCCUGAGUCAGAAUAUGGAGCACAGUUAAGAUUGUAAUUUUUAGUUACUGUUGUAAAAAGCACACUACUAAGUAUUAUUUCAUAAGAUGAGAAUGAAUAAAGUCCUUAUGAUGAUGCACAUUUUACUGUGAGUGCUUUAAAAGCAGUUUGUUAUGAUCUAGCUGUGCUUUAUGAUGUACUGUAUAUUAAACUGUAUAUGUUCACUUAUUUAUUGAGCAAAGUUGACUCAGAAUCGGUGUCGAUGUGUUGGACCCACACCACAGAGUGCUGUGACCGUCCUCCAUACAGUUUGGGUGUUAACCCUUCACAGGAUCCUGGCUUUGUAGUUCAGUCCUAAGUUAUUCUUUAUUUUGUUUAGCUCAGCCUUUUACCUGUUUUACUUUAGUUCCAUCUGUUCUUAGUUAUUUUACCCAGAUCGUGUUAUUAAUUUAUUGUGUUUAGUUAUUCUUUGUCUCACUUAGAUUCAUAUGUUAAAGCUCCACUGUUUGUGUUUUCCUCCUCUGUGCCAUUUCCCUCACAGCUGCAGUCAGUCAGUAAUGAGUCUCAGUCCAUUGUUUCACCAAACUCUCCCAAUACUUAACCACCGCUCUAUCCAGGACUUGUUCACACACAGCCAGGUUUCUGAUAAACUCAAUAGACUUUUAUGCGAUUUGACCUCACAUCAACAUGUAACUUACAUUUAAUAUCACAAAAACUGUUAAUAAUAAAACCUCCAGUCAAAGUGAA